GCCGCCGCCGCCGCCGCGGGAACAAAGACCCUGCGGGCGGAUCCCGGCGCGGCCCCGCCGUGGCUUCCCCGCGCUAAGGCGGGCGGGCAGGAGGGAAUGUCGCCGCUUCCCAGCCCUCCCUGCCCGCGGGCGAAGGUCAGGGCGCACAGCCCGGGGGGUGGCUCCAGGUCAAGGCCGCCCCCUCGCCCUGCGGCCCCCAGGUCGCCGCGGUGCCUCGGCGUUUCCCGGCACAGCCAGGGGAGCGACGCUCCGCUGCUGCCCCGGGCGCUGCUGCGUUUGAUAAUGGUUAUGGGAGCGCCGCGUGAACGGAAUUGUCUAAAAAGGCUGCAUUGACAGAAAUUUCCCCAGCUUGAGAUAAACCUGAUAAGAAGUUAAAGUAUCAGAUACCUUUUAAUGGACUUUAGGCACGUCAUAUUUCUGUGGUUUCUCACAAAACGUGUCACUUGGCCCUAAGAGGCAUCGGCCGUUGUAUAGACGUAGGAAUUCAGUCCAGCUCUGGGGAUUUGGCUUUGUUUCUUAACCCGCAGAAGUAAGUAAUACAUCCUGAUACUUCAGCGGUCAUAUUUGUUGUGCACUGGGCAUCCUCUGAAACUUAGUACUUGAACAAUCCUCUUUGAACUCGGUUGUCCAAGUGUGUAGCUUUUUGGAUUCUUCGGGUGGUUAAAAAGGGGGAAAUACUGUUCCCUUUUAGCGUAUCUGGAAAAGAAUUUCAAGCUGCUCUCCGGUGAGGGAGUUCAGAGGAGUGAGUUUUGCUGAUGAAGCUUUGGUUUGGCUGGGUUAUUUAAAGAAAGAGAUUCCUCAGAGGCCUUGUCUACAUUAAGCAAUUAAAUUAUUGUUUUUAUCCAGUAGUAUAGCACCUAUAUAACUACCAGAAGUUGUGGUUUUGCAGGUGAAGGUCAGUUAUACUUUUGCCCUACAUGUGUAACUGUGCCAUAUUCAGGCUUUACAGCUCCAAGGACAGAAGGGAUCCUAUUUCUUGGGUCCCAAACUUUGGGAGGUGUUGAAAGCCUUUCUGAGAGCUCUUGGAGAACUUAGCUGGGGGGUGGUGGGGGGACAUAAAACCUUGAGUUCUUGUAGUGCUAUCAUACUAAAGGUAUGCUAUACUCCUUUUAGAUGUGAAGUGUAGAGAAAAGGAAAAAUCAAACGUAACUCUUCCUACAUAAAAGGAGGGGGGGCAAAUAGGCUGAUUUUUUUUUCCAAAUCCAGAGUGUGCUACCAGAUACCAUUGGAUAUUUUGCAGUGCCUGCCAGAAACCACGUAAAAUCUGUGAUGUGAUAGCUCACUACCCAAGGCAGAUAUCUGCGUGCUCUGUCACAGAUGACAUUUGCAGAGUGUUGUACUGGUUUGUGUGCUUGGUUCUCUCUGCAUAUUGGUGAAAUGGGUAGGUUCAAUUCACAGGGUGAGAAACAGUGGCUGUAGUACUUCAGGAUUUGAAAGGAGACUUGAGUACAGGGUGUGCAUAGAUCAAUACUUUGCUGGCUCUGGGAAAACUGGCUACUGAAAGUAGUUGAUUUAGCAUUGCUGGCACGCCUGGGUUUUCAAAUGCCAGGGAGCACCAGGAAUAAAAUUAUCACUGUGCUGGACCCACAUGGUGUAUAUAAUCAGCUGAGAAUUUAUUUAUUUCUACUUUAGCUGUGUCUAGUCAGCUUUUCUAAACCAUCGCUAGACUCCAGCCUGGAUACAAACAAAUCCCUCAAACGGAGCAGAACUGGAGCAGGCUAAUAGUGUAUAGAUGUCACUUCUCAGAAAUCCCCAGAGACUACAAUGUAUUUCUGUGUGGCAGGAGCAAUGGAAAUGCUACUGAUGGUCAGAUACUAGCAGCAACUAUGCUGCUGUUUAAUUCUUCCAUGAGCUGGACAGUGCUGAAGCAGCACUGAAAGAAACUAGGCCUGCUUGUGCCUGCUGAACAAGUUGUUGCUAUCAACAGUCAAAUGACAGCAUCUUUAGUACAGAAUCAGGAUUUAAGAAAAAUACUAGCGUAGACAAGAAUUUAGAUGUCUGACUGAACCAGCAGGACCAGCAUAUAGAGAUUGUACUGUGGAAGGUAAAACAUAAGCCCUGAUUUCCUUGAAAAAGCUAGUGUGCAGGGAACUAAAGCAUGAAAUUACAGUGUACCAGCUAGUUUACAGUGGAAAACAGUGUGCUGUUUCACUUGCAAUCCCUAUUUUUUUUCACAGGGCCAUUGCAAUGAGAAGUAAAAGAGCUGCUGUAAAGCCUGGAGAGUGACAUGAUUCCUGUGAACAGAUGUAAAAAAAUUUAGAGAUAUUUAUAAAUGGAAAGCAUUAUACACAUAAAAUGCAUUAUAAACAGGAUUGUGUUUGACUAUCAUCAAGGCACCUUCCAUUUAAGUGAGAAGACAAUCCCAUUUGAGGAGUUUCCAAUUCAGGCCAUCAUUCCUACAGGUAUUCCCACUGAAGCUGGUGUCAGAGUUAGAUUUAAGUCUUUAGAAGAUCACAUGCUUGAUAAGAAAUAAUAGGCAAUUGCUGUUCUUUUAACUCAUAUAACAUGCAUGAGUUCUGUAUAUGGAGAGCUUCAGCCUCAAAACAAAUACUUCAGGAAGCAUGUUUCGGCAAAAAUCUCCCACUUUCUAAACAGAGGACAUCCCUCUUCUUUGAUUCCUUUUCAAAUACAUAAAAUGCUGGAACUGCUCAUGCAACAGUCCCUCCGCUGCUGCCGUUCACAAAGGGAUGUCUUGAGCAAACCAAAAUCUGCAAGGCUUUACUUUCCACUGCUUGACUGGAAAUCACAGAAGCUCAGACCUGAAUAAUGAGCAGCACAGGGCCAGGAACAGCGGGCAUGGGGAAGACAUCUAGAGCAUUAUUGUCUCAGGCAUCAUUCUCCAAGACAGUCCACCCUUAAAACAGAGGCUGAGGCUGUGGCUGUUGUCCUGAUUCUGCUCUGGGGAUGGUGACAGCUGGCAGAGGGGUGGCAAGAAACAGAGGGUAAGAAAAUCUUCCACUGAGUUGUAAGAAAAACAUGAACCAAAAACCUCAAUGCAUCUUAACCUGAAGAAAGAUAAAUCUGGAGCUGCUGGAUUUGCAGGAUUAAGUGAGAAAGACCCGUAAGGAGGGAGAGCCUUGCAGUGGCCUGCUUGUCUCUAAAGCAAAUGAUCUUGGACAGCUGCCUCUUGCUUGCUCAGGCACAGCCGUGUGUGGGCACAAGCACAGGUGUGUUUGGUGGCUCCCACAGUGUGAUGUAGUUCAGAAGUAGACAUGAGGAGCUAGAUCCAAGAGAGUUCAGGUGGCUAGAACUAGGGCAUAAAAAAUCUUGCAUCUAAACCAAUGUUUAGAGACUUGGUUGCCUAGAGGGAGCACAGGAAAGGGUCAGUGGCUCAGAACAGGACACAGAUCAGCCAGUAUAAGUGUGCUGCUGCCAAGUGUCCCUGUGUAGAAACUCUGGAUGCAGCUGCCUUUGCAUAUUCUUUCAAAAACAUCACCAUGCUUGCUGCUUGUAGCUAAAUGUUGAUGAAGAGUGUACAUCUCCUAUGUGUAAAAUAAAUUGGUGGCUAAGGAAACUAUGAAAAUACAGGUGGCUUCACACACCCAGGGGCUUGUAAGCACAAAAGCAAUGCUCUGCAUUCUGCUUAAAGGAGAGUUGCUCGGUAUUUUUUCAUUGGUGUGCUGUUAUGUCAAAAAACUUCUAAUUUGGGGCACGAGUAUACAAGUAUUCAUUUGAUUUUAUAUCUUUGUUGCUAAUUUCUGGGAUGAAGAUUAGUGCUUCUGGCCCACUUUAUGAAUUCUGGAUGACACCUGUAUUCCAAAAUAUCUAAACAAUGACUGUUCAUUAGAUGCACUAAGAAAGUGCUAGUAUUUUACAGAAAUUUUUGCAUUCAUUUCACUGAAGUGCCAGGCACAGCACACUCCUAUUUUUUUGGUCCCCAUAUGUCAUCUACUUUGAGCAGCAGAGGGGGGAACUAGGAGGUUCACAGAGGUUCCUUGCAACCUCAGCUGUUCUGUGAUUCUGUGACUUGGUGAUUUUAUGCAUAAACUACUGGUUUGAGAAAAAUGCUGUUUUCUAGCUGUGUUUCAUUUUAGCCUUAAUCUGUUUGUACAACUGGAUUUGCUUCUGAAUCAACAGCAAAGUGAAGAUGCUGAUAUAACAAGAAAGACAGAUACUUUCACAAUUUCUGAAGAGAGUGGAAAUGAGAGAAAUCACAGUUGCUUCACUUUCGCCAAAAGGAGAAGUAAAAACCACAGGGGAAACCAUCAAAAGCGACUGUGUCACAUCUUCCUGUAUGUAAUUGUUGGCUCUCUUACUGUUAACUCUCAAUGAGUAUCUGGUGCAUUUAUUUAAUCUAAUUACCUGUUGGAAGACAGCUAUCAAAUACAAACUUAGACACACAAUCUUUUGUUUAUGGUGAAGAUGUCUUCUUCCUACUCAAAGCCUAAAUUCUACCAAAUUGAUUUUAAAAAAUAAAAAG